UAAGUUGGUAGUGAAAGCGUGGGGCUCAACCUCAUAUCCAUCACUAAAACUGCUCAGCUAGAGGAUGAGAGAGGUCGCUGGAAUUGCUAGUGUAGGAGUGAAAUCCGUAGAUAUUAGCAGGAACACCGAUGGCGUAGGCAGGCGACUGGCUCAUUCCUGACACUAAGGCACGAAAGCGUGGGAGCAAACGGGAUUAGAUACCCCGGUAGUCCACGCCGUAAACGAUGGAUGCUA
rnacentral:rRNA from 1 species